GAGUUUGAUCAUGGCUCAGGAUGAACGCUAGCGGCAGGCUUAACACAUGCAAGUCGAGGGGCAUCGGGAGGGAAGCUUGCUUUCCUUGCCGGCGACCGGCGCACGGGUGAGUAACACGUAUGCAACCUGCCCUCUCCAGGGGGACAACCUUCCGAAAGGGAGGCUAAUCCCGCGUAUAUCGGUUUCGGGCAUCCGAGAUCGAGGAAAGAUUCAUCGGAAGAGGAUGGGCAUGCGGCGCAUUAGCUUGACGGCGGGGUAACGGCCCACCGUGGCGACGAUGCGUAGGGGUUCUGAGAGGAAGGUCCCCCACACUGGUACUGAGACACGGACCAGACUCCUACGGGAGGCAGCAGUGAGGAAUAUUGGUCAAUGGGAGAGAUCCUGAACCAGCCAAGCCGCGUGAGGGAAGACGGCCCUAUGGGUUGUAAACCUCUUUUGUCGGAGAACAAAACCCGGGACGUGUCCCGGACUGCGUGUAUCCGAAGAAAAAGCAUCGGCUAACUCCGUGCCAGCAGCCGCGGUAAUACGGAGGAUGCGAGCGUUAUCCGGAUUUAUUGGGUUUAAAGGGUGCGUAGGCGGUCCGUUAAGUCAGCGGUAAAAUUGCGGGGCUCAACCCCGUCGAGCCGUUGAAACUGGCAGACUUGAGUUGGCGAGAAGUACGCGGAAUGCGCGGUGUAGCGGUGAAAUGCAUAGAUAUCGCGCAGAACUCCGAUUGCGAAGGCAGCGUACCGGCGCCAGACUGACGCUGAGGCACGAAAGCGUGGGGAUCGAACAGGAUUAGAUACCCUGGUAGUCCACGCAGUAAACGAUGAAUGCUGGUUGUCCGGGUCGAAUGAGAUCUGGGCGGCGAAGCGAAAGCGAUAAGCAUUCCACCUGGGGAGUACGCGGGCAACGGUGAAACUUAAAGGAAUUGACGG
rnacentral:rRNA from 1 species